AGAUAAAGUUGAGUACCCUAAGGAGACUGUCGUGGUUAAGCCGGAGGAAGGUGGGGANGACGUCAAGUCCUCAUGGCCUNUAUGUCCAGGGGCUACACACGUGNUACAAUGGCGGUACAAGGGAUCGCAAACGCGCGAUCGGGGGCACAAUCCCAUAAAACCGUUCUCAGUUGAGAUUGCAGUGUGCAUAUAGCCUGCGAAGAGCGGGAAUCGAUAGAUAUCGCGGAUCAGCAUGCCGCGGAAUAUGCGUUCCCGGCCCUUGUACACACCGCCCGUCACAUCAUGAAAGCUGGUUGUANUGAGAGUGGCCGUGCUAACCGCAAGGGGACAGGUGCCCAGAGGUAUGACUAGGGAUUGGGGUGAAGUCGUAACAAGGUAG
rnacentral:rRNA from 1 species